UAAUAGGAGCCUAAGAGCGUACGGUGGAUGCCUUGACUCUAAAAGACGAUGAAGGACGCAGCUUGGCGGCGAUAUGCUUCGGGGAAGUGCCUAGCAACUUUUGAUCCGAAGAUUUCCGAAUGGGGGAACCCCCUGCGGCAAAGCCGCAGGAUCCUAACAUUUCGUUAGGAGGUGUACCCGGGGAAGUGAAACAUCUCAGUACCCGGAGGAAAAGAAAAAAAUCCUUCGCUCAUACUACGGAUACGCACUAACGUGUGUCCCGUAGUGUGAGCGAUGGACCAUUCCCUGAAUAGCGGCGAGCGAAAAGGGAGGAGCCCAAACCGCGCAUCACACAGGGCGAGAUACGAAAGGUUCGUAUCGUGCGUUGUGUGAUGCGCGGGGUUGUAAGACAUACACGUCGCAUUUAUGCGAGAAAAGUUACAAAAUGUGGUGUUAGCCGAAACUGCUGGGAAGCAGUGCCCUAGACGGUAAGAGCCCGGUAGGCGAAAACAUCAUAUCUUUUUUGUGUGUGCUCUUGAGUACCUCAAGACACGAAUAGCUUGGGGGAAUCUGCCAGAACUAACUGGUAAGGCUAAAUACUUUUAGAGAUCGAUAGUGAACUAGUACCGUGAGGGAAAGGUGAAAAGUAGCCCCGUGAGGGCAGUGAAAUAGACCUGAAACCGUAUGCUUACAAAGAGUGGGAGCCCUGUUUAUCGGGGUGACCGCGUGCCUAUUGAAGAAUGAGCCAACGAGUUGCUGUGUACUGCAAGCUAAGUCCAAAAAGGAUGGAGCUACAGGGAAACCGAGUGUGAAUAGCGCGUUCGUAGUACACAUCAGACCCGAAGCCAGGUGAGCUUACCAUGAGCAGGGUGAAUCCCGACGAAAGUCGUGAGGAGGCCCGAACCGGUUGACCGUUCAACAUCAUCGGAUGACUUGUGGUAAGGAGUGAAAAGCUAAUCGAACCUGGUAAUAGCUGGUUCUCUCCGAAAUAGCUUUAGGGUUAGCGUCGCAGUUACCUUUGGGGGGUAGAGCACUGGAAGGGUUCGACAGGGAGCAAUCUCGCGAACCCUAUCAAACUCCGAAUACCCGAAGUCAAUUCUGCGGCAGUUAGGCCAUGGGGGCUAAGCUCCAUCGGCCAAAAGGGAAACAGCCCAGAUCUCCAGUUAAGGUCCCUAAAUCUAUGCUAAGUGCAUCACAAGGAGGUGGAAUUUCUUAGACAAUGAGGAGGUUGGCUUAGAAGCAGCCAUCCUUGAAAGAAAGCGUAACAGCUCACUCAUCGAGAGAUUCUGCGCCAAAGAUAAUCGGGGCUAAGCAUAGUACCGAAACUGAGGGUGUGCACGUUCUUCGGAACGUGUAUGCGGUAGGAGAGUAUUCUUGUCUGCAGUGAAGGAGUGUCGUGAGGCCCUCUGGAGCGUCAAGAAGUAAGAAUGUUGGCACAAGUAACCACAAUGCGGGUGAAAUCCCCGCACGCCGAAAGACUAAGGUUUCCUUGGCGAUGUUGAUCAGCCAAGGGUGAGUCGGCCCUAAGGUGAUGGCGAAAGCCGUAACUGAUGGACACAUGGUUAAUAUUCCAUGACUUCUGUUGUGUGCGAUGGGAUGACGAAGGUUAGUAUGCAACGCGCAUUAUUGGAUUUGCGUUCGUGCGGUAAGGACGGUGCUUAGGAAAAUCCGGGCACCUGCUUUUAAUGGCGUUUCCAAGCUGAGCGGAAAUGGGGAGGUUCGCCUCCUUAGAUGUUGCAAAGCAGCUUUCCAAGAAAAGUCUCUAAGCUUCAACUCAACAGAAACCGUACCGAAAACCGACACAGGUAGUCAGGUCGAGUAGACCAAGGCGAACGAGUGAGUGUCCCCCAAGGAACUCGGCAAAAAAGCAGCCGUAACUUCGGGAUAAGGCUUUCCCGCCGCAAGGCGGGACGCAGCGAAAGAUUCCCUGGCAACUGUUUACCAAAAACACAGCUCCCUGCGAACUCGCAAGAGGAUGUAUAGGGGGUGACGCCUGACCAAUGCGAGAAGGUUAAAUAUCGGUGGUGUAUGGUCUUCGGAUUAUAUGCUGGCUGAUAUAAGCCCUCGUCAAUGUCGGCCGUAACUAUAACGGUCCUAAGGUUCUCGGUUCAACGCAAGUUGAGUCGAGAAGGACUGGGACUGUUGUAGGAAAUUGGUAAGCAAUAAAUUAUCGUCAUACGUAGCUACCUACAUCACCGUAAUGUGAUGUUAGUCCAAACAUGGUUAACGAGAGACCAACACCAUGCAUCCUACUAACGAAUGUUAGGGAUGAAGAGAGAGUCCAACGUUGAGGAAUAGUUGAGCGAAAUUCCUUGUCUGGUAAGUUCAGACGUGCACGAAUGGCGUAAUGACUGGGGAACUGUCUCGGGGGACAGCUCGGUGAAAAUACAGUACCGGUGAAGAUGCCGGUUACCUGCAGUUAGACGAAAAGACCCCAGAAGCUUUACUAUAGCUUGGUAUUGAGUAUGUUUGUUUACUGCGUAGCAUAGGUGGGAGAGGUUGAAGCAGUGCUCUCGGGUGCUGUGGACUCGUCAGUGAAAUACCACUCUGUGAAUGGGCAUGCUCUAAUCUGUGCGGAAAAAACGCACGGUGACAGUAUCUGGUGGGUAGUUUUGUUGGGGCGACAUCCUCCUAAAUUGUAACGGAGGAGUUUAUUAAGGUUCCCUAGGCGCGAAUGGAAACCGUGCCGAUAGUGUAAUGGCAUAAGGGAGCUUGACUGCAAGAGGUACAUCUCGAGCAGGUGCGAAAGCAGAACAUAGUGAACCGACCACUCGCUUUAGAUGCGGUGGAAGAUUAACGGAUAAAAGCUACUCUGGGGAUAACAGGCUAGUUCCGCCCAAGAGUUCAUAUCGACGGCGGAGUUCGGCACCUCGAUGUCGGCUCAUCUUAUCCUGGGGCUGGAGAAGGUCCCAAGGGUUUGGCUGUUCGCCAAUUAAAAAGAUACGCGAGCUGGGUUCAAACCGUUCAGGCUCUGAAAUUAUUUCGGAUCCUGAACCCAUUUGAACCCCGAGGAAUCGACAUAUACACGGCGGCUUGCACCAGUAAUGGUGCAUGAUAAGUUGACUUAUAUCGGAGAAACCCGACUGGCAUUUUGCCAAGGGCAACUUCGAGGGAAUUCACAUUAGUGUGGAGCCCGUAGAGACUGAAUGUUAACCAUCCAAUUCGUUGGAUGAAGUCACAGUCCGAUCCACGUAGUAAUACGUGAAAGUAGAUGCGUGAGACAGGUUGGUCUCCUAUCUACUGCAGGCGUUGAUUCUUGAGAAGAGUUGCUCCUAGUACGAGAGGACCGGAGUGAACUGACCUCUGGUGUAUCGGCUGUCACGCCAGUGGCACUGCCGAGUAGCUAUGUCGGGAAUGGAUAACCUCUGAAAGCAUCUAAGAGGGAAGCCACCUUCAAGAUUAGGAAUCGUUGAGACCCCUAGGAGAUGACUAGGUUGAUAGGCACUAGGUGUACGCACAGCAAUGUGUUUAGCCGAGGUGUACUAAUCCGUCGAGUCUCCUAUUAGG
rfam:Candidatus Yonathbacteria bacterium RIFOXYD1_FTLL_52_36 rifoxyd1_full_scaffold_4727, whole genome shotgun sequence.